GAUGAACGCUGGCGGCGUGCCUAAUACAUGCAAGUCGAGCGAACGGACGAGAAGCUUGCUUCUCUGAUGUUAUCGGCGGACGGGUGAGUAACACGUGGAUAACCUACCUAUAAGACUGGGAUAACUUCGGGAAACCGGAGCUAAUACCGGAUGAUAUUUUGAACCGCAUGGUUCAAAAGUGAAAGACGGUCUUGCUGUCACUUAUAGAUGGAUCCGCGCUGCAUUAGCUAGUUGGUAAGGUAACGGCUUACCAAGGCAACGAUGCAUAGCCGACCUGAGAGGGUGAUCGGCCACACUGGAACUGAGACACGGUCCAGACUCCGACGGGAGGCAGCAGUAGGGAAUCUUCCGCAAUGGGCGAAAGCCUGACGGAGCAACGCCGCGUGAGUGAUGAAGGUCUUCGGAUCGUAAAACUCUGUUAUUAGGGAAGAACAUAUGUGUAAGUAACUGUGCACAUCUUGACGGUACCUAAUCAGAAAGCCACGGCUAACUACGUG
rnacentral:rRNA from 1 species